rnacentral:lncRNA from 1 species
GAGAGAUUCGCCAGGGAGUACUCAACUGGUGUUUGUUCAACCUCGCAGCUGGUACUCGGUGCCACUGCAAAGGCCCAUUAAUGGAAAUGGGAUGAGUUUAUGGAUUUAAGAGACUCCACACCCUCUCCACUGAGGGGCGUUAAUCCUGGUACUGGCAGAUGAGCAGUCCUGGGAAUCACUGGCAGCCGAUUUCACAGGAGUUCCAACAAGGCCUUUUAUGCGCCCUGCUCCCAGUCUGGGGUGGCAGGCUCACUCUCUUUCCCACCUACUUUUCUGCCUUAUAGGACCCAUAGUCUCCAGGAUUCAAUAUGUUAGGAGAAUUUUCAAGUUAAUCCAUGGUGCCUGGCUUCCAUGGGAAAGAAGAGGCUCCACCAAGGAGCUCCAUUCUGGAGGCUACCCAGCUGAGGGUGCAGAAGUGGCAAACCUCUCCUCUUUUUUACCACCCUCCCUUCUCCCCCCAAGACACCCCACCCAAUUUCACCUCAGAACUGACAGCCCCCUCAGGAGAAACUAAGGGCAGAGAAAUGGUGCCUGGGCUUCCCAGCCAAUGAAAUAGAAAGUCGCCUUUUUGGUGACACAUAGCAUCUUUUAAGGCAACAAGAGGACCUUGACCCUAAUGUCCAUGUGAAAUGUAAGGGAGUGAGAAAGGGGAUAGAAGGGGCUUUUAUUGGGAAGAUUCACUGGCACUCUGACACCAAGGCAGAGCGACACAGCAACCUAGGAAUGGAGAGCAGCAAGAUGGGU